rnacentral:rRNA from 1 species
UACAGAGGUCUCAAGCGUUGUUCGGAUUCAUUGGGCGUAAAGGGGGCGUAGGUGGCGCCGUAAGUCGGGUGUGAAAUUUCGGAGCUUAACUCCGAAACUGCAUUCGAUACUGCGGUGCUUGAGGACUGGAGAGGAGACUGGAAUUCAUGGUGUAGCAGUGAGAUGCGUAGAGAUCAUGAGGAAGACCAGUGGCGAAGGCGGGUCUCUGGACAGUUCCUGACACUGAGGCACGAAGGCCAGGGGAGCAAACGGG